AGAAAACACGCGGCGGCUCGUUGUCCUAAAAUUUUGGUUUAUUUACAAUUCCGGGUUCUCGUCAUUUAACCGUGUAUUUCCUCAAUGCUGUUCUGUUGCCGCGCCAAUAUUAAAUAUUUAACGCGUUAUCGAUUAGACAUAAAUUCAGACGGGUAGCUAUUAGACGUAGUAAUUAUAUUAACAAGCGCCGAGUUGCACUAUAUUCUACCUCCUACAAUGAUAUUAUAGAAUCGAAACUAACCGUA